GGUAGCAUAUGGGAAACACGCUUGUCUCCCACGUCAUAGAUCGUGUGUUCGAAUCCCC
rnacentral:tRNA from 16 species